rnacentral:rRNA from 1 species
UACGGAGGGGGCUAGCGUUGUUCGGAAUGACUGGGCGUAAAGCGCGCGUAGGCGGAGUGGCAAGUUGGGGGUGAAAUCCCGGGGCUCAACCUCGGAAUGGCCUUCAAGACUGCUGGUCUUGAGUUCUAGAGAGGUGAGUGGAAUUCCGAGUGUAGAGGUGAAAUUCGUAGAUAUUCGGAGGAACACCAGUGGCGAAGGCGGCUCACUGGCUCGACACUGACGCUGAGGUGCGAAAGCGUGGGGAGCAAACAGG